UACGGGGGGGGCAAGCGUUGUUCGGAAUUACUGGGCGUAAAGGGCGCGUAGGCGGCCUUCUAAGUCAGACGUGAAAUCCCUCGGCUCAACCGAGGAACUGCGUCUGAUACUGGAAGGCUUGAAUCCGGGAGAGGGAUGUGGAAUUCCAGGUGUAGCGGUGAAAUGCGUAGAUAUCUGGAGGAACACCGGUGGCGAAGGCGGCAUCCUGGACCAACACUGACGCUGAGUGAGCGAAAGCCAGGGGAGCAAACGGG
rnacentral:rRNA from 1 species